rnacentral:tRNA from 1 species
AGUCCCGAGGUAGUGCACGCUAAAAUGCAAGUUUAGAGAAGCACCCUAAAAGGUGCCGGGGCUU